GCGGCGGCGGUGGCGGCGGCAGCGGCGGCGGCGGCGGCGACGGCAGCCUGCGCGGUGCCUUCUGGGAACGGAAUCCCCAGGGCUGCCCCUGGCCCCCAUGGCGCAUGCGCGGGAGGCCGCUCGGUGAUCCGCGGCGGCGGCGGCGGCGCUUCCUGCUAGGACCGGCCGGGGCCGUACCGGAGGCUCGGGCUGCACCGACCCUCCUCCCACCCCCUCCCACUCACCCUCUGGGCCGCGACUGCGCAGGGCGGGGCCGGCCGAACCAUGGGCCGCGGUGUGGGCUAAGCUGGUGGCCCCGGCUUUAGACUGGACCCCACAAUGUUUGCAGAGAUGUUCAGGCACGCGGGAGCUGAUUACACACAAUGAAUGGGGGCAAUGAGAGCAGUGGAGCAGACAGAGCUGGGGGCCCGGUGGCCACAUCUGUCCCCAUCGGCUGGCAGCGCUGUGUGCGAGAGGGUGCUGUGCUCUAUAUCAGCCCAAGUGGCACAGAGCUGUCUUCCUUGGAGCAAACUCGGAGCUACCUCCUCAGCGAUGGGACCUGCAAGUGCGGUCUGGAGUGUCCACUCAAUGUCCCCAAGGUUUUCAACUUUGACCCUUUGGCCCCGGUGACCCUGGGUGGGGCUGGGGUGGGGCCAGCAUCAGAGGAGGACAUGACCAAGCUGUGCAACCACCGCCGGAAAGCUGUUGCCAUGGCAACUCUGUACCGAAGCAUGGAGACCACCUGCUCACACUCUUCUCCUGGAGAGGGAGCAAGCCCCCAAAUGUUCCACACUGUGUCCCCAGGGCCCCCUUCUGCCUGCCCUCCCUGUCGAGUUCCUUCUACAACUCCACUUAAUGGGGGUCCUGGCUCCCUUCCCCAGGAACCAUCCUCAGUACCCCAGGCCUUCCCCCCUCUAGCAGGCCCUGGGGGGCUCUUCCCACCACCAAGGCUUCCUGACCCCGUGCCCUCUGGGGGCAGCAGUAGCCCCUGUUUUCUCCCAAGGGGCAAUGCUCCCUCUCCAGCCCCACCUCCUCCACCUGCUAUCAGCCUCAAUGCCCCCUCAUACAACUGGGGUGCUCUUCGAUCCAGCCUGGUUCCUUCUGACCUGGGCUCUCCUCCAGCCCCUCAUUCCUCCUCACCACCUUCAGACCCUCCUCUCUUCCACUGUAGUGAUGCCUUAACACCUCCACCCCUGCCCCCAAGCAAUAAUCUCCCUGGUCCCCCUGGUCCCCCUGGUCCUGCCACUCAGCCACCAGUGUCUUCAGCCACUAUGCACCUGCCCCUGGUCCUGGGACCCCUAGGAGGGGCCCCCACAGUGGAGGGGCCUGGGGCACCCCCCUUCCUUGCUAGUAGCCUACUCUCUGCAGCAGCCAAGGCACAGCAUCCCCUGCUACCCCCUCCCAGCACUUUACAGGGCCGAAGGCCCCGUGCCCAGGCGCCCUCAGCUUCCCACUCAUCACCCCGUCCCUCUCAGCGUCGUCCCCGCCGGCCCCCAACUGUAUUGCGAUUGCUAGAAGGGGGAGGCCCUCAGACCCCUAGACGUAGCCGUCCUCGGGCCCCUGCUCCUGUCCCCCAGCCCUUUGCUCUCUCGGAGCCAUCCCAACCAAUUCUCCCUUCUGUGCUGUCCCUGCUGGGACUCCCCACUCCUGGCCCUUCCCAUUCUGAUGGAAGCUUUAACCUUUUGGGGUCAGAUGCACACCUUCCUCCUCCUCCAACCCUCUCCUCAGGGAGCCCUCCCCAGCCCAGGCACCCCAUCCAGCCCUCCCUGCCUGGGACCACCAGUGGCAGCCUCAGCAGUGUGCCAGGUGCCCCCGCCCCACCAGCUGCCUCCAAAGCCCCUGUAGUCCCUAGCCCUGUGCUUCAGAGCCCAUCUGAAGGGCUGGGGGUGGGGGUGGGCCCAGCCUGCUCUCUGCCUCCCUUGGCUGGUGGGGAAGCUUUCCCUUUCCCCAGCCCUGAGCAGGGCCUGGCACUGAGUGGAGCUGGCUUCCCAGGGAUGCUAGGAGCCUUGCCUCUCCCUUUGAGUCUGGGGCAGCCUCCACCUUCUCCAUUGCUCAGCCACAGUUUAUUUGGUGUGCUGGCUGGGGGAGGAGGACAACCUCCCCCUGAACCCCUGCUACCCCCACCAGGGGGGCCUGGCCCUCCCCUAGCCCCAGGCGAGCCUGAAGGGCCUUCGCUUUUGGUGGCUUCCUUGCUUUCACCACCCCCCUCAGACCUUCUUCCCCCACCUUCUGCACCUCCUAGCAACCUCCUGGCCUCUUUUCUGCCCCUGUUGGCCCUGGGCCCCACAGCUGGGGAUGGGGAGGGAUCUGCAGAGGGAGCUGGGGCUCCUAGUGGGGAGCCAUUUUCAGGUUUGGGAGACUUGCCCCCCCUACUUUUCCCCCCACUUUCAGCCCCCCCUACCCUCAUAGCUUUAAAUUCUGCGCUGCUGGCUGCCAGCCUGGAUCCCCCCUCGGGGACACCCCCCCAGUCCUGUGUCCUGAGUGCCCCCCAACCUGGACCACCUACCUCCAGUGUCACCACGGCAACUACUGACCAGGGGGCCUCCUCUCUGGGCAAGGCCCCCUCCAACUCAGGGAGACCCCCCCAACUCCUUAGCCCUCUGCUGAGUGCCAGCCUGCUGGGUGACUUGUCUUCGCUGACCAGCAGCCCUGGAACCCUCCCCAGCCUAUUGCAGCCUCCUGGCCCUCUUCUCUCUGGCCAGUUGGGGCUGCAGCUCCUCCCUGGGGGGGGAGCUCCUCCACCCCUCUCAGAGGCUUCUAGUCCCUUAGCCUGCCUGCUACAGAGUCUCCAGCAGAUCCCUCCAGAGCAGCCAGAAGCUCCCUGUUUGCCCCCUGAGAGCCCCACCUCAGCCCUUGAACCAGAGCCUGCCCGGCCUCCCCUCAGUGCCUUAGCCCCACCCCACGGUUCUCCCGACCCCCCAGUCCCUGAGCUGCUCACUGGGAGGGGGUCAGGGAAACGGGGCCGGAGGGGAGGAGGGGGUCUUAGGGGCAUUAAUGGUGAGGCCAGGCCAGGCCGGGGCCGAAAGCCUGGCAGCCGGCGAGAGCCUGGCCGACUGGCCCUCAAGUGGGGCACCCGUGGUGGCUUCAAUGGACAAAUGGAAAGGUCCCCAAGAAGGACCCACCACUGGCAGCAUAAUGGGGAGCUGGUUGAAGGGGGUGCUGAGCCCAAGGAUCCACCCCCUCCUGGGCCUCAUUCUGAGGACCUUAAGGUGCCCCCAGGGAUAGCCAGAAAGUCUCGUCGUGGCCGGAGGAGAAAAUACAAAAAGUUUCUCACCCAGCCUUCUGAAAUUCACCUGGUGCUUGGGGAGCUGUUCCUGAUCAUCUGUGCCCCUUAUUGCAGCCCUACCCGGAAUAGCAAUAGCUCCCGCCAGGACGUUACCUUGGAACCCAGCCCUACAACCAGAGCUGUCCCUCUGCCUCCCCGGGCCCGCCCUGGACGUCCUGCCAAAAACAAGAGGAGGAAACUGGCCCCAUAACAGCCAUACCUGGAGCUGGAGCUGACCCUGACUGGGGAGAGCUGAGUGCUGAGCCUUGGGAGCCCCUGCCAGCCACGUGCACCUGUGGACAGUGGCCAGCAGGCUCAGUUUACAAACCUGUGAGCUACUGUUGGCUGCUGCCCUCCUUCCCAGUGAAAGAGACGUUGUGAUGAUGCGACUGAGGAUUAUGCAACGUGGUCCAACCGGAGCGGCCAGCAUGACCAGCUGUCCAGGGGCUGCCUCCUGCCUUUUCUUUUGUAAAGACAAGACCCU